AGACACGUGCAGGAGAUUUUGAACA
rnacentral:piRNA from 1 species